rnacentral:rRNA from 1 species
CGAAAGCCUGACGGAGCAACGCCGCGUGCGGGAGGACGGCCUGUGGGUUGUAAACCGCUUUUCUCAGGGAAGAACACAAUGACGGUACCUGAGGAAUCAGCAUCGGCUAACUCCGUGCCAGCAGCCGCGGUAAGACGGAGGAUGCAAGCGUUAUCCGGAAUUAUUGGGCGUAAAGCGUCCGUAGGCGGUUCAUCAAGUCUGCCGUUAAAGACUGCAGCUCAACUGUGGGCCGGCGGUGGAAACUGAUGAACUUGAGUAUGGUAGGGGUAGAGGGAAUUCCCAGUGUAGCGGUGAAAUGCGUAGAUAUUGGGAAGAACACCAGUGGCGAAGGCGCUCUGCUGGGCCAUAACUGACGCUGAGGGACGAAAGCUAGGGGAGCG